rnacentral:lncRNA from 1 species
GGGGAUGUGGGUGUGUGUGUGUAUGGGGGUAUGUGUGUGUGUGUGUGUAUGGGGGUAUGUGUGUGUGUGUGUGUGUGUGUGUGUGUGGUUGAUGAUUAGAGUCCAGGGUAUCUGAGGGUAACUGGAGGGUGGAUGACUAGUCCCGUCACACCCUAUAUUCACUCCUUAUGAUCUGUACUGUAACACUAAUCCUGUGUGUGUGUUAAUCCUAUACCCAUAAAACACUGGUCUGUGUCACGCUGUCUCAACCCACUAUAUCUCUGUGAUAAACUCAUAUGAAUAAUAAAACCAAGUCAAAAGUAGUGAGUAACAAUAUCAGAUAACAUAGAUCUGCCUUCCUCAUCUGAGCUGUCUAGUCCAGUAGAGUGUAAAGGGGGGUGAGCUGUCUAGUCCAGUAGUGUGUAAAGGGGGGUGAGCUGUCUAGUCCAGUAGUGUGUAAAGGGGGGUGAGCUGUCUAGUCCAG